UGGGGAAUAUUGGACAAUGGGCGAAAGCCUGAUCCAGCCAUGCCGCGUGUGUGAAGAAGGUCUUCGGAUUGUAAAGCACUUUAAGUUGGGAGGAAGGGCAUUAACCUAAUACGUUAGUGUUUUGACGUUACCGACAGAAUAAGCACCGGCUAACUCUGUGCCAGCAGCCGCGGUAAUACAGAGGGUGCAAGCGUUAAUCGGCAUUACUGGGCGUAAAGCGCGCGUAGGUGGUUUGUUAAGUUGGAUGUGAAAUCCCCGGGCUCAACCUGGGAACUGCAUUCAAAACUGACCGACUAGAGUAUGGUAGAGGGUGGUGGAAUUUCCUGUGUAGCGGUGAAAUGCGUAGAUAUAGGAAGGAACACCAGUGGCGAAGGCGACCACCUGGACUAAUACUGACACUGAGGUGCGAAAGCGUGGGGAGCAAACA
rnacentral:rRNA from 1 species